GAAAGAUUACUUCCGUCCGGGCUCUGGCCUCUCUCUGGAGCCGGCUCGUUGGGGGCUGGGGAGCGGGGUGUGCGGGGCUCGGGGGCCGCGCCUUGCCACCUGCAGCGCCCGGGGCGGGCGGGACGCGCUCGGCCCGGUCGGGGGCUCACGCGGGGCAUCCUUGCAGGUGGGAGCCGAGAGCAUUUCCUAGCGCCCAAGCCAUGGUGGCCAAACAGCGGAUCCGGAUGGCCAACGAGAAGCACAGCAAGAACAUCACCCAGAGGGGGAACGUAGCCAAAACUCUGAGGCCGCAAGAAGAGAAAUACCCUGUGGGACCGUGGCUGCUGGCCCUCUUUGUUUUUGUUGUCUGUGGCUCAGGAAAGGUGCAUCGUCCAGAGGUUCCAGAGGUCCAGCCACCCUGGGCCUGCUCCCAGGUCGACCGCAUAAACACUGGCCUUUCCUGGAGAAACCCUUCUGUUUCACCACGAAGGAAAGACUGAGGACAUGCCUCUGCUCUGGAACUCCUGCCUCAGGAUCUGAGAUGGACAAUCUGGAAAAGAUGUCUCAUCAGCCAUUGGCUCCCUCAAGCUAUCUUCCAGAUCAUUCAGAGCAUAAGGAUGGGCAUGUGAGCAGGUUUGACACCACCCCCUCCCGCUGGAGGGUGGAGGACCACUUCAGCUCUUAGCCGGGUAUCUGUGGGAAGCCAACAAGCCACCCAGAAAAGAAAAAAAAGGCUCCCUCAAUUGUCCCCUGAUCACUUCAUCGUGGAUGUCAGACCAAAUUGCCUUCUCACAGUUCAUCUCGGUGCAUCCGUGUUCUCGAGCAGAAAGGACCUUGUGCUUUGCAGUUGGCAGGGUUGGUGGCUCCCCGAGUGUCUGCAGUGGUUUCGCCUUGGGUUUCACUGAUGUGUGCAUGGGGGCCUCUGAAUGAUCACUGCUUUACUUUCUAUGGAUACAAUCUCUCCUCCACUGGGAAUUGCUUUUACAAAUAAAUGUCUUUGUUCAACUGUG